GAAAUGCGAUAAGUAAUGUGAAUUGCAGAUUUUCAGUGAAUCAUCGAAUCUUUGAACGCACCUUGCGCUCCCUGGUAUUCCGGGGAGCAUGCCUGUUUGAGUGUCAUUAAAUUCUCAACCCCGAUCGGAUUUGUUUUCGCAUUCGGAGGCUUGGAUAGUGGAGCGUGCUGGCCCCCUCUCAUGGGUCGGCUCCUCUCAAAUGCAUUCGCGGAAUCGACUUUGGUCCAUUUCGGUCAUCAGUGUGAUAAACGUUGCGCUGUUGGCUAGGAUCGAGGUGCCGCAUACAAUGGUCUUCGGACAAUUUUAUAAACCAUUUGACCUCAAAUCAGGUAGGACUACCCGCUGAACUUAA
rnacentral:misc_RNA from 1 species